rnacentral:rRNA from 1 species
GUCUACAGCCACCACCCUGAAUGCACCUGAUCUCGUCUGAUCUCAGAAGCUAAGUAGGGUCGAGCCUGGUUAUUACUUAGAUGGGAGAAGGGGUGGGGAGAAUGGCUCAGCAGAUU